CCAGGUGUGCAGUGGGCGUGGCCCAGGCAUGUCAAUCUCUCCCAGGUGUGCGGUGGGCGUGGCCAGGUGUGCUCCCCUCCCCCUCGAGCAAUAAACGCACCUGGACGCAC